AUCCUACGGGGGGCAGCAGUAGGGAAUCUUCCACAAUGGGCGCAAGCCUGAUGGAGCAACACCGCGUGAGUGAAGAAGGGUUUCGGCUCGUAAAGCUCUGUUGUUGGAGAAGAACGUGCGUGAGAGUAACUGUUCACGCGGUGACGGGAUCCAACCAGAAAGUCACGGCUAACUACGUGCCAGCAGCCGCGGUAAUACGUAGGUGGCAAGCGUUAUCCGGAUUUAUUGGGCGUAAAGCGAGCGCAGGCGGGUGGUUAGGGCUUGUGUGAAAGCCUUCGGCUUUACC
rnacentral:rRNA from 1 species